CUGACGGAGCACGCCGCGUGAGCGAAGAAGGUCUUCGGAUCGUAAAGCUCUGUUGUUAGGGAAGAACAAGUAUCGGAGGAAAUGCCGGUACCUUGACGGUACCUGACGAGAAAGCCACGGCUAACUACGUGCCAGCAGCCGCGGUAAUAA
rnacentral:rRNA from 1 species